rnacentral:rRNA from 1 species
UACGGAGGGAGCUAGCGUUGUUCGGAAUUACUGGGCGUAAAGCGCGCGUAGGCGGCUUUGUAAGUUAGAGGUGAAAGCCCGGGGCUCAACCCCGGAAUUGCCUUUAAGACUGCAUCGCUUGAAUCCGGGAGAGGUGAGUGGAAUUCCGAGUGUAGAGGUGAAAUUCGUAGAUAUCGGAAGGAACGUCAAUGGCGAAGGCAGCCACCUGGCAUAAUACUGACGCUGAGGCGCGAAAGCGUGGGGAGCGAACAGG